rnacentral:rRNA from 1 species
AACGAACGCUGGCGGCAUGCCUAACACAUGCAAGUCGAACGAGACCUUCGGGUCUAGUGGCGCACGGGUGCGUAACGCGUGGGAACCUGCCCUUAGGUUCGGAAUAACUCCCCGAAAGGGGUGCUAAUACCGGAUAAUGUCUUCGGACCAAAGAGUUAUCGCCUUUGGAUGGGCCCGCGUUGGAUUAGCUAGUUGGUAGGGUAAAAGCCUACCAAGGCGACGAUCCAUAGCUGGUCUGGGAGGAUGAUCAGCCACACUGGGACUGAGACACGGCCCAGACUCCUACGGGAGGCAGCAGUGGGGAAUAUUGGACAAUGGGCGAAAGCCUGAUCCAGCAAUGCCGCGUGAGUGAUGAAGGCCUUAGGGUUGUAAAGCUCUUUUACCCGGGAUGAUAGUGACAGUACCGGGAGAAUAAGCUCCGGCUAACUCCGUG